rnacentral:rRNA from 1 species
UACAGAGGUCCCGAGCGUUGUUCGGAUUCAUUGGGCGUAAAGGGUGCGUAGGCGGCUUUCUAAGUUUGAUGUGAAAUCCUGGGGCUCAACCCUGGAACUGCAUUGAAUACUGGGAGGCUAGAGUACUGGAGAGGAAACUGGAAUUUACGGUGUAGCAGUGAAAUGCGUAGAGAUCGUAAGGAAGACCAGUGGCGAAGGCGAGUUUCUGGACAGUUACUGACACUGAGACACGAAGGCCAGGGGAGCAAACGGG